GACGAACGCUGGCGGCGUGCCUAAUACAUGCAAGUCGAACGAGAGCGACCGGUGCUUGCACUGGUCAAUCUAGUGGCGAACGGGUGAGUAACACGUGGGUAACCUGCCCAUCAGAGGGGGAUAACAUUCGGAAACGGAUGCUAAAACCGCAUAGGUCCUUUAACCGCAUGGUUGAAGGAGGAAAAGAGGCGCAAGCUUCUGCUGAUGGAUGGACCCGCGGUGCAUUAGCUAGUUGGUGAGGUAACGGCUCACCAAGGCCGUGAUGCAUAGCCGACCUGAGAGGGUGAUCGGCCACAUUGGGACUGAGACACGGCCCAAACUCCUACGGGAGGCAGCAGUAGGGAAUCUUCCGCAAUGGACGCAAGUCUGACGGAGCAACGCCGCGUGAGUGAAGAAGGUUUUCGGAUCGUAAAACUCUGUUGUUAGAGAAGAACAAGUGCUAGAGUAACUGUUAGCGCC
rnacentral:rRNA from 1 species